CAAGUGAUGGAAACAACAGCGGAGUCUUUCUUGGACGCACAGCGCGCGGACACACCUGACGCGAGUAUCUUUUCGUUUCGUUUGGAAUUCAGUAUGAACCGAGCUGGAAAGGAGAUGCAUUUAUCACUAAAUAAUAAGAAGUCCGUUAUAAUUAGUGUACAGGCAAGUUGUGGAAUUAUGUCAAUUUCACCAGCAUUUUUGCAGUGGAAGAGGAGCGAAUAACUUUAGCCAAUAUGCGUUUUUGGAUGUUGUCUCGUCUCGCCCGACUGUCCUAUGGAAUAUAGCCCAAUAUAUCACAACCUACAUGUUGUCUCAUCAUCCCCCGUGAAGAAUAAACUCUUUGUUUUCUGCAUCAUGUUGUCCCUGUGGGUGUAUAUGAUCUAUUGCUGCGUCGGAUACUGUUCAACCAUGCCAAGUCUGAUGGUCAGUACAGCCAGCAGUAAACAUUCACAACAUCACGAAGAAGUGGACCCCAACAGAACUCAACCCCGACUCCAAAACGAAGUGGACUUGGAAUCCGGACACCAAGAAGAUCCGUUAGAUUCUUUAGAUCCGCUAUUCGGCGUAUCAUCCAGGGACUUGUUAAAUAAUGAGAAUGAUUUGGACAGCAGAAGAGGGGAGGACUGGGAUGAGAUUCGAAGCGAGCAGAGGACGUUGGAUAAUAAUGUCGUGUCAAGUCUCUUCAACGAGUCAGGGCCGUCGGAGAGUAAGAAAUUGCCCCAAGCGAUUAUCAUCGGGGUGAAGAAGGGAGGCACGCGGGCGCUGCUGGAGUUCCUCCGCGUGCAUCCUGACAUCAGAGCUGUCGGGGCCGAGCCGCACUUCUUUGAUCGGAACUAUGACAAGGGACUGGAGUGGUACAGAGACCUGAUGCCUGAGACCCUGGAGGGUCAGAUCACCAUGGAGAAAACCCCCAGCUACUACGUCACUAAAGACGUCCCCGCCCGUAUCCACACCAUGUCCCCAGACACCAGGCUGAUCGUGGUGGUCCGAGACCCCGUCACCAGGGCCAUCUCAGACUACACCCAGACCCGCUCCAAGAAACCUGACAUCCCCUCCUUCGAGAGCCUCACCUUCAAGAACAGGACUAUGGGUCUCAUCGAUACGUCCUGGAGCGCCGUCCAGAUCGGGAUGUAUGCCAAGCACCUAGAACGCUGGCUGCAGUACUUCCCCAGGGACCAGCUCCUCUUCAUCAGUGGGGAGAGGUUGAUCUCCGACCCGGCCGGAGAGAUGGCCCGCGUACAGGACUUCCUGGGGCUUAGGAGGGUGGUUAGUCACAAACACUUUCACUUCAACCCAGCCAAGGGCUUCCCCUGUCUGAAGAGGCCAGAGGGGAAUAGUAAGCCUCACUGUCUGGGGAAGACCAAAGGAAGGACUCAUCCUAAUAUUGACCCGGAGGUGGUACAGAGGCUGAGGGAGUUUUACCAACCUUUUAACAGGAGGUUUUAUCAGAUGACGGGACAUUACUUUGGAUGGGGCAGAGGCUGAGGGAGUUUUAUCAACCUUUAAACAGGAGGUUUUAUCAGAUGACGGGACAUUACUUUGGAUGGGGCAGAGGCUGAGGGAGUUUUAUCAACCUUUAAACAGGAGGUUUUAUCAGAUGACGGGACAUUACUUUGGAUGGGGCAGAGGCUGAGGGAGUUUUAUCAACAUUUUAAUAGGAGGUUUUAUCAGAUGACGGGACAUUACUUUGGAUGGGGCAGAGGCUGAGGGAGUUUUCUCAACCUUUAAACAGGAGGUUUUAUCAGAUGACGGGACAUUACUUUGGAUGGGGCAGAGGCUGAGGGAGUUUUAUCAACAUUUUAACAGGAGGUUUUAUCAGAUGACGGGACAUUACUUUGGAUGGGGCAGAGGCUGAGGGAGUUUUAUCAACCUUUAAACAGGAGGUUUUAUCAGAUGACGGGACAUUACUUUGGAUGGGGCAGAGGCUGAGGGAGUUUUAUCAACCUUUAAACAGGAGGUUUUAUCAGAUGACGGGACAUUACUUUGGAUGGGGCAGAGGCUGAGGGAGUUUUAUCAACCUUUAAACAGGAGGUUUUAUCAGAUGACGGGACAUUACUUUGGAUGGGGCAGAGGCUGAGGGAGUUUUAUCAACCUUUAAACAGGAGGUUUUAUCAGAUGACGGGACAUUACUUUGGAUGGGGCAGAGGCUGAGGGAGUUUUAUCAACCUUUAAACAGGAGGUUUUAUCAGAUGACGGGACAUUACUUUGGAUGGGGCAGAGGCUGAGGGAGUUUUAUCAACAUUUUAACAGGAGGUUUAUCAGAUGACAGGACAUGACUUUGGAUGGGGUUCAUGGAGCUGAGAGACAAAACAUGAUAGACGGAGACAUUGAGUGAAUCCGAAAUGCCACCCUAUUCCCUUUGUAAUGCACUACCCUGGUCAAUGGUAGUGCACUAUAUUACAGGACAAAAUGCCACC